AGACGAAGGUGGCUAGCGUUGCUCGGUGUCACUGGGCUUAAAGGGUACGCAGGCGGAAAGGUAAGCGUCGUGUGAAAGUCCUCGGCUUAACCGAGGAAUGGCUCGGCGAACUAUCUUUCUUGAGGCAGGUAGGGGUGCAUGGAACUCUUGGUGGAGCGGUGGAAUGCGUAGAUAUCAAGAGGAACGCCGGUGGCGAAAGCGGUGCACUGGACCUGUCCUGACGCUCAGGUACGAAGGCGUGGGGAGCGAACGGGAUUAGAUACCCCGGUAGUCCACGCUGUAAACGAUGUCUACUAGGUUGCGGAAGUUCUGACACUCUCGCAACCGGAGCAAAAGUGUUAAGUAGACCGCCUGGGGAGUACGGCCGCAAGGCUAAA
rnacentral:rRNA from 1 species